rnacentral:rRNA from 1 species
AACGAACGCUGGCGGCAUGCCUAACACAUGCAAGUCGAACGAGACCUUCGGGUCUAGUGGCGCACGGGUGCGUAACGCGUGGGAACCUGCCCUUAGGUUCGGAAUAACUCCCCGAAAGGGGUGCUAAUACCGGAUAAUGUCUUCGGACCAAAGAUUUAUCGCCUUUGGAUGGGCCCGCGUUGGAUUAGCUAGUUGGUAGGGUAAAAGCCUACCAAGGCGACGAUCCAUAGCUGGUCUGAGAGGAUGAUCAGCCACACUGGGACUGAGACACGGCCCAGACCCCUACGGGGGGGGGGAGGGGGGAAAUUUGGACAAUGGGGGAAAAGCCGGUCCCACCAGGCCCGGGGGGGGGAUAAGGGCUUGGGGUUUUAAAGGCUUUUUUACCGGGAUUAUAAGUACGGUACCGGGAGAAUAGGCUCCGGCUAACUCCGU